UACGUAGGUGACCAGCGUUGUCCGGAUUUACUGGGCGUAAAGCGCGGGCAGGCGGUCUGACAAGUCUGAUGUGAAAUCUCCGGGCUCAACCGGGAGAGGCCAUUGGAAACUGACAGGCUGGAGGGCAGUAGAGGUAGGCGGAAUUCCGGGUGGAGUGGUGAAAUGCGUAGAGAUCGGGAGGAAUACCUGUGGCGAAGGCGGCCUACUGGGCCGGACCUGACGCUGAGACGCGAAGGCGUGGGGAGCGAACGGG
rnacentral:rRNA from 1 species